CGCCGCCGCUUGAGCCCAACAUGGCGAUGCACAACAAGACGGCGCCGCCGCAGAUCCCAGACACCAGGCGGGAGCUGGCCGAGCUGGUGAAGCGGAAGCAGGAGCUGGCGGAAACACUUGCAAACUUGGAGAGACAGAUCUAUGCUUUUGAAGGAAGCUACUUGGAAGACACUCAGAUGUAUGGCAAUAUUAUCCGUGGCUGGGAUCGAUAUUUGACCAAUCAAAAAAACUCCAAUAGCAAAAACGACCGGAGGAACCGGAAGUUCAAGGAGGCCGAGCGGCUCUUCAGCAAAUCCUCAGUCACGUCGGCCGCUGCAGUAAGUGCCUUGGCAGGGGUUCAGGACCAGCUCAUCGAAAAGAGGGAACCAGGAAGUGGAACGGAAAGUGAUACUUCCCCAGACUUCCACAAUCAGGAAAACGAGCCUGCGCAGGAGGACCCCGAAGACCUGGACGGCUCCGUUCAGGGAGUGAAGCCUCAGAAAGCUGCCUCUUCCGCCUCCUCAGGGAGCCACCACAGCAGCCACAAAAAACGGAAGAAUAAAAACCGGCACAGGUAUGUAUAUUAGGUUAGGCUGGGAAGUUUUUUUUAAAAACAGAAAAACGUGAUGGAGGAUUGAUUUGAAGUUAAACAAAAAGCCCCGAGCUGACUAUUAGAAGACUUGCUAGCAGAAGCUUCCAGGCUGUGAAGCCCUGCUUCCCCUCUGACCUCACAGCGACAAAUGUCCCUCGCCUGACUGUGGCCAUCUGCCUCUGACCCCGAGACCCAGUGCCUGUAACUGGCUAGUCUGUCCUAACUGUAGUGACAAGUCCUCCCUAUAAGACUUUGGGUCGUUCGCUGUUGUCAUCGUUAGAACAGCAGGAAGACCUGUCCUCGGUCCCAGUCCCUGCGGGUGGCUAACUGUGCAUUUCUCCCUUCUUAGAAUGAAUGUCUCCCCCCAAACUGGCUGGCACCAGCUCCAUCUGUGACUCCCCCACCCCCCAUCGAGAAGUGCACACACCUCUGAUUCUGUGUUACGCUCAAAGUAGACCCCAAGGUCCAUUGCAGAUGGAGGCUGUGAAUAUCUGCCAUUCUCUUGUUUUGUUUUGUGUCGUGUUGUUUUUUUAUUGUUGUUUUUACCAUCUGAUUUUCUUUUGGGACAUUUUGUGAUGCCUGUACCUUCCUGAUGACACAUCUGAUCGUCUGUUUCAUGUGCUGUCGAUAUUCAUAACUGAAACUAAAGUGGCUUUUAGAAGGAAAUGGG